CUUCAGUCUUCGCAGCAGACUGUGACAUUUACCCCAAUUCACAGAUAAGGAAGCAGACACUCAGAGAGGCCGACUUGCCCCAGGUCACACAAUUAAAAAGGGGAUUUGAGAGGCCAGCCCAGGUCUGUGUGACCGCAGAUGGGUUCCUCUCAGUCAGUGGGUCCCCACUUCUCACACAGCAGCUGCUCAAUAAGUGGUGAGGCUGUUGGGAUCCCCUUGGAUCACGCAGCAGCACUCCUUCCUGCCCCUGUGCCCCUGCCAGGCUCUGAGCGCCAUCUUUGCUGUGGCCCAGGAUGUAGCCAAAGCAGCCUUUGGAGGUUCUUUGAGAAGUUCUGCAUCUGGUUUUGAAAACUAACUGCACAAGCAGCAGGGAGGGAGAGCUGCCUGUCCACAGCCCCUGCAGGAGCUGAGCUGGGGGCUCAGCGUGAGUCACUGGGUGUUGAGUUGCUGGGAAAGCUCAUGUUGAGAAACAGCAAGGUAAGGAGCUGUCCAGGGAGGAGGAGGUGAGAGACCCGCCGUCCUCAGGGCUGGCCUGGCGUUCUCUGGGCCUGCUCUUCGAGGGAGGGAAAAGCAGCACAGGUGCAGGAGGAAUGUUCUGGAAGGCUUGUAGAGUAGGAGAAGACAGAGACAGAAGACAGAGUAGCAUCGGCAGGCUGUGGAGUCAGCAGGGGCCUGGGUUGUGUCCCAGCUCCAGCACAUCCUGCGACCUUCCACAAGUCCCUUGGUCUCUCAGAGCCUCCGUUUCCUCAUCAGUAAAGUGAGAGUGAUAAGAGCUCCUAUUUCUCAGAGCUGUUGGGAGGACUCUGUCAAGAACUGAGCACAGGGCUUGGUCCAAAGGAGGGGCCCAGGAGGUCGUGGGUCUCAGAGCUGGGGCUGCUCAGCUGGAGAAGGGGCCCGUGAGGACCUGAGAGUCAUCUAUGCUGUGGGAGGAGCUGCCAGUGUCUGAGCAGGUCAACCUUGCCCCAUGCACACAGGCACACAUGUGCACAGUGGACUCUAGAGUGGGAACUGUGUCCUGAUGUGGAUUUGGUCAGAGGUCAGGACAUCCUUCUGACCAGCAGGAAUGGUUCAAGGACGUAAGGGGCUGCCCUGGUGGUAGAGGGGACACCGAGGCUCAGGGUGAUCAUGGGUCUUGUCUGGGGUGACUCAGCAGAGCCAGCUCUGAACCUGUGACUCUGAGGAUAGAACCAGCACUUGCGACCACUCCCCAAGGAGGAAGACACCAUCCACCUGGGUAGAGUGGGUGGAGCCUCUGGACGGCCUCCACGCUGGCCUGUGGUUUAGCAUGUUCUAGCAUGUUCACUCUGUUCACAAAGUGCAUCUGGGUAGUCACAUGGAACCCUCACAACCAGCCUGCAAGACAGGCAAGGUGCUCCUCAGUAUGCAGUAAGGAAACUCAGGCCCAGAGGGAUAAACAGAAAGGGGUGAGGGAGUCAGGGACUCUCAAGGCACCAGGACAACAUGCUUCCUUCCUGGGGGGCUCUCUGGGGACCCCUGGGCUUCCUCCUUCUACUGACCACAUAAGGGCCGACCCCUCACAGGUGCACACACCAUUGCAGAAAAAGGGGAUCCCAUGGAGGCUCUCAGCUCCAGCAGGUACUGCUGUGUGCCUACAAACCAGCCACUUCCCUGGGCAUCUGAAUCCUGAUAUGGAAGAGUAAUGACGCACACUCAGAGGCUGCAACCAGGAAGAGAUGCCUCCAUGAGAGUGAAGUUCAGGCAUGAUGGCAGGUCACAGGGGGGCUUGACAAGUGACCUUUGCCACGAUCCCUGAUGAGUUAUGGUGGGAUCAUGACAUGGGCAUUCCCAGACGUGGACACACAUGCACACCAUUUUGCACAUCCUCGGCAUACAUACACAAUUGUCCUAAGUGAUACACCCUUUGGGUUCCUGGGGCCCCUCUCACCUAAGGAAGACCAUAUCCUUCGGUGGUGUGCAGGUCAGGGGCUCCGUCACAAUCCCACCAGGCACUGCGAGGGAAAGGCAGCAGGACCCAGGAGAAAGUGGGCUUUGGAGCCAGACACCUGAGUUCAAAUUCCAGCCUUGCCACUUCCUAACUGGUGUUCUUGGAUCACUCGACCUCUCCAAGACUUUGGUUUCCUCAUCUGUGAAAUGGGGAUGAUAGUUCCACACCUCAGAAGGGGGUGGAAGCGUUAGAAGGCUGCAAGGUGUCUUCAGUGCCUCAGGACACAGCAGGCAUUCAAUAAGUUCCCAGUUCAAUUCCUUCCAGUUGGAGUGAAGGCCGGAGAAGCACUGAGGAGAGAUGGAGGAAAGAUCCCGGAGGAGGUGAGACUAUUCCAUAGGGCGCCCCCUCCGGGAGAGGAGAGGAAGGAGAGGAAGGAGGGGCCGGUGUGUGCCUCUUCCUGCCAUGAGUGCAGGGAACUCAGAGGGGGUCCACACAGUCCCCGAGUUCUGGAACUUUGGAAGCCUUGGAAUGGGGGCCCAGCGAGGGGAAGGGGGGUGGUCCCCAGGCUACACAGCACAUGCGUGGUAGAUCCAGCGCUGGAACUCAGCCUGCCUGGGUCCUGAUCCGAUCUGCUGCCAGCUGCUUGUGCUCAGGAAUCUGUCUCUCCAGCUGCAUCAGCUCUGCCCUGGGCCCCACACUGACCCCAGGCUCUUGGGAUGAGGCGGGGAGGAGAACAGCUUUACUGGGGACCAAGGACUCAAGGACUGGGGACCUAGGAGGUGUGGGCCUUUCCCUGGAGAACCCCAAUUCCAUCUCAUUGUGGAAGAAGUGGGGUCUGAGGACAAGAAGGAUGUAGCUGUGUGACUUUGGGCAAGUAGCAUGACCUCUCUGUGCCUCAGUUUCUUUGUCUUAAAAUGGGAUAAUAAUGGUUCCAGACUCAGAGGGUUGCCAUGAGGAAUAAGUGCCCCACUGUGCAAGUAACGGGCCUGCACACAGCAGGCGCUCAGUGAAUGUGGGCUGCUGUGAUUAGAACCGUGUGUGCAUCCCUGCCCGGCUACCUCCUGGCUGUCUGACCUUGAGGGCAUCAUUUUCCCUCUCUGUGCCCAUAUCCACAGCCUAAAAUGGGGACGAUGCUAAUACAAUGCCACAGGUUGUUGUCAAAUUCAAAUGAGGCCAUGGGUGAGUAAACGCAAAGCCCAGUACAGUACACCUGCACAAACUGAAAAGUGCUGUGCAGUUAUUCACUGUUAUUCCAGUCGCACUCCCCUCUAUGCCCGCUGCCCAUCCAGUCUCUCCUGAGUGCUCCCCCCAGCCCCCUCCAGCCUGCCUGCUAUGAGUCGGAGGUGCCAGGAAUGAGGCCACUUCAUCACCUCUGAAUGCAGAAGCCCCAAGCAGGUUGGAGGCCGAGGAGACCAGGAUCCUCUUCCAAGUGUGCUCACAGAGGGCAGAAGACAGUCCUGGCCGUGAGGCAACAUUCAACUUGGAGCUGGGCCCACCAGUCCUGAGGGCAGAAGGACAAGAUUGGACCCUACAGCAAAGGGACCCCCAAGGCCUGUCAGGGCUGAGCGGUGGUUCCCCAAGGAAAAUGAAGAGGGGUGUUCCUGAGGCUGAACCAGAUGCUCGAGAGCUGUGGAGUGUCAGCUGCCAACGGUUCACAGAUGUGCCCUGUCUGGAGAACUGUCCUUAGCUGAGGGAGCUGACUGGCUGGAACUACCACUGGGGGCAACCGCAACUGAUGACGGGUUGACACAGGGUGCAAAAGACCCAUCUCACUGCCUGAGGUGGGACAGCCAUGUGGUGCCACACACGAGGCUCCAGAGCUCUCCUUGGGUGCACUGAGCCCACGCCCUGGCCUUGCUUCUUGCCCGCCCUCCACUGCUUCCCUGACUCCCCUUCUCCUGAGCCUAUGUCCUCCACAGUCCCAAACAUCCCCACACGUCCCCAUCUCAGACUCAGCUUCUAGGGAGCCCGACCUAUAUGGAAUCUUCUGGAACAGCCAUCCUCACACACCUGCCAUCCUGUAGAUUACAUUCCCUGUGUGAAGGCCUGAUUCCAAAAAGGCCCUAUCACCAGGCUCCCAGCAAGGCAGGGCCAGUGUCUUGGCACCUGGCAACCCAAGCUACUGCCACGAACUCAUCCCAAUUCUUCCCAGGUCUGCUCCAGGUCGUCAUGAAGUCCGUUCUCUCUACCUAAUUUCCACAUCUCUCCCUGCUCAGGUUUGAUUAACAGAAGGUUAUAAACAAAUUCCAGAAAGAAGCAAAACCAGGGUCUCCCCGGGGUAGACACAGUCUAUUGACAGCCAGCAAAUUGUUUUGCAACCAAUAUUUUUAUAUUUUUAUUUUGUGUAGAUAAAUAGGACUGAACUAAUUAGUGCUCCUUUGCUUUCCUUUUUCAGGCCUUGUACUACAGUGGGAGUCUCUUGGCCCCAUAGUGAAUUGGUUACCGGGUUUCAACAAGGGGUUGUGAAUGUCUCCAAGCCAAAUAUUCCGGAAAGAACUCUGACUGCAAGGGGAUGGAAAAGAGUAACCAACUCCAAAGGGGAGAUGACCACGCAACUCCACAGAUGCUGAAUGGAGAGAGACUUAAUGGAUCAGAGAAAUAAAAUCAACGGAGUUUAUCACCCCCAGCUCAGCAAACAAUAGUGCCAUCAGCACCAUAGGGCCAGUUCCUUGCCUCCAAGUCCCAUCAGCAGACGCAGUUUGGACAUGACAUUGCCUCAUGUUUCUCUAUCCAUCUGACAAUCAGAGAUGCCCAAGCUGAUCUCCUGAGGCAGCUGAGUGCAGGGAAAUGUUAAUUACCACUAAGGCUUUCCUUGUCUUGGAAACCUCCAUCUGUGAAUUCUGUGAAAAGGAAUGAGGUCCUGAUUGGAGGAAGACAACACAAUUCUGAGGUCACAUUCCCCUGUCCUCAGAGGGAAAACUGCCGUUUUGUGUUCGUGUUGGGGAUGCAAGCACAAGACUUUGAGAACACAGAGCCAGGCCUCAGGUGAUCCCCAGGAAGGGACAGCAGGUGACCAUGGGUGAGACCAGUAAAACCUGCAGAAUUGGAUAUUAGUUUUUCUAUCUCUGAUGUCUAGACAUACUUUAAUCUCCAUGCUACUUGGAAAGUUGAUGUGCUCACAGAAAAUAAAAUGUGCUGACAAGCUCUUUGUGUCCCAG
rnacentral:lncRNA from 1 species